rnacentral:pre_miRNA from 1 species
CUGCCAUGAUGCCAGCUGCAGUGGGGGAGGCACAGCCGGGGCUGCAUGCUCCAUGAAUCCAAUGGGAGCCAGGAGCAGG